rnacentral:rRNA from 1 species
CAGCCUGCCCAGUGACAAAGUUCAACGGCCGCGGUACCCUAACCGUGCGAAGGUAGCAUAAUCACUUGUUCUUUAAAUGAGGACUUGUAUCAACGGCACUACGAGGGCUAUACUGUCUCCUUUUUCUAAUCAGUGAAACUGAUCUCCCCGUGAAGAAGCGGGGAUCAAAAUAUAAGACGAGAAGACCCCAUGGAGCUUUAAACUUACCACACACCUCUGUGGUACCACACCAUUUAACACAAGAGACCUGCGUGCUAGUUUUAGGUUGGGGGGACCACGGAGUAUAAUUAAACCUCCACAACAAAUGGGCUAAUACCCUUAUCCACGAGACACAACUCUAAGAAUUACUAAACUAAUGCUUAUGACCCGAUAUUCGAUCAAUGAACCAAGUUACCCUGGGGAUAACAGCGCAAUCUACUUCAAGAGCCCCUAUCGACAAGUAGGUUUACGACCUCGAUGUUGGAUCAGGGUAUCCCGGUGGUGCAGCCGCUACCGAUGGUUCGUUUGUUCAACGAUUAAAACCCUACGUGAUCUGA